CACCGCGGUUACACGAAGGGUCCAAAAUAAUACUACACGGCGUAAAACGUGACUAGAAGCAAGUUUUAAGUACGGAACCUCAACUAAGACCCAGCUGUAAAACGCACCUAUCCAAAAGAACAUCCCACACUCCCACCAAAAAUCACCUUUGACCACACGAAACCUAAGAAA
rnacentral:rRNA from 1 species